UCCCAGACUCCUACGGGAGGCAGCAGUGAGGAAUAUUGGUCAAUGGGCUAACGCCUGAACCAGCCAAGUCGCGUGAGGGAAGACUGCCCUAUGGGUUGUAAACCUCUUUUGUCAGGGAGCAAUUGGCGCUACGUGUAGCGUUAUCGAGAGUACCUGAAGAAAAAGCAUCGGCUAACUCCGUGCCAGCAGCCGCGGUAAUACGGAGGAUGCGAGCGUUAUCCGGAUUUAUUGGGUUUAAAGGGUGCGUAGGCGGAAUGCCAAGUCAGCGGUAAAAUCGCGGGGCUCAACCCCGGCCGGCCGUUGAAACUGGCGUGCUCGAGUUGGAGAGAAGUAUGCGGAAUUCGUGGUGUAGCGGUGAAAUGCAUAGAUAUCACGAAGAACCCCGAUUGCGAAGGCAGCAUACCGGCUCCACACUGACGCUGAGGCACGAAAGCGUGGGUAUCGAACAGGAUUAGAUACCCGAGUA
rnacentral:rRNA from 1 species